rnacentral:rRNA from 1 species
CCUACGGGAGGCAGCAGUGGGGAAUAUUGCACAAUGGGGGAAACCCUGAUGCAGCAACGCCGCGUGAGUGCAGAAGUAUUUCGGUAUGUAAAGAUCUAUCAGCAGGGCAUAAGACAGACGGUACCUGACUAAGAAGCCCCGGCUAACUACGGGCCAGCAGCCGCGGUAAUACGUAGGGGGAAAGCGUUAUCCGGCUGUCCUGGGGGUAAAGGGCGCGUAGACGGCGGUGCAAGUCUGAAGUGAAAGCCCGUGGCUCAACCGCGGAACUGGUUUGGACACUGUAUAGCUUGAGUACUGGAGAGGCAGGCGGAAUUCCUAGUGUAGCGGUGAAAUGCGUAGAUAGUAGGAGGAACACCAGUGGCGAAGGCGGCCUGCUGGACAGAAACUGACGUUGAGGCUCGAAAGCGUGGGGAGCAAACAGGAUUAGAUACCCGGGUAGUC